GGAGAGGUGGCCGAGCGGUUGAAGGCACCCGCCUCGAAAGCGGGCAGGGGCGAAAGUCCCUCGGGGGUUCGAAUCCCCCCCUCUCCGCCA
rnacentral:tRNA from 1 species